GACGAACGCUGGCGGCGUGCUUAACACAUGCAAGUCGAACGGAAAGGCCCUGCUUUUGUGGGGUGCUCGAGUGGCGAACGGGUGAGUAACACGUGAGUAACCUGCCCUUGACUUUGGGAUAACUUCAGGAAACUGGGGCUAAUACCGGAUAGUAGCUCCUGCUGCAUGGUGGGGGUGGGAAAGUUUCGGCGGUUGGGGAUGGACUCGCGGCUUAUCAGCUUGUUGGUGGGGUAGUGGCUUACCAAGGCUUUGACGGGUAGCCGGCCUGAGAGGGUGGCCGGCCACAUUGGGACUGAGAGACGGCCCAGACUCCUACGGGAGGCAGCAGUGGGGAAUAUUGCACAAUGGGCGGAAGCCUGAUGCAGCAACGCCGCGUGCGGGAUGACGGCCUUCGGGUUGUAAACCGCUUUCGCCUGUGACGAAGCAUGAGUGACGGUAAUGGGUAAAGAAGCACCGGCUAACUACGUG
rnacentral:rRNA from 1 species